AUGGCUAUUGUGCAACGAUUUGGGAAACCAGAUUACUUCGUCACGAUGACUUGCAACCCGUACUGGGAGGAAAUAACUUCCAACCUUGCACCCGGGCAGACACCGCAAGACCGCCCAGACCUCGUGGCUAGGGUAUACAAGGCCAAGUUGAGAGAUAUGAAAGAUCUUUUGAUCAAGAAAAAAUACUUUGGCACGGUUGCUGCUUAUGUUCAUGCUACCGAGUUUCAAAAAAGGGGGCUA
rnacentral:rRNA from 1 species